GGCGGCUUUAAGGAGUUGCAGACUUGCAGGUCAAGCUUUUAGAGCGCAAGCCGUGCAUUUAUGGACUAGCUUCGUUACGCAGCUUUUGGAAAGGCGUACUACUACUACCUGGCCUUGCUCGGUCGUCGUCGGAGUUAGAUGUCGCGUCGGCGGCGGCGGCGGCGGCGGCGCUGCUCUCUGGCGCCGCCUCCUCCAUCUCCGCUUGCCCCCCGGCCCCGACGACGUUGAUGCUGAUCUUUCCUCUGAUCCCUGAUUCCUCCAGCUCCGCUUCCGUGACCGCCUUGUCGUCGUCGUCGUUGCUCCGCUGAGCAACAAGCAGAUGCUUGAGGUCACCCUCGCCGCCGCCGCCGCCGUGGCUGCCCCCCUGCAGCUGCGACGGGUGGAAGUCACCUCGGCCUGAAAGAACAAGUGCGUACAAAUCAGUGGGUGUACACACGCACGCGCGCACGACAGUACGUGGGUCGCUCAGAUCGGAAGCAGAUCGAGAAGGCAGAAGCGCACUCACGAUCACGAGCGUCGAGGACGAGGGUGGCGUAGCGUCGGGAGGAGAGCGUGAAGACGACGACGACGAAGAGGAGGAAGCAGCCGACGGCGACGACGGACAGCAACCUGCCACCUGCCGCCACCUUCUUAUUCUUGUCGCCGCCGCCUUUCAUGGCCGCGCCGCGGGCCAGCGCAGCCAUAUCUAGCUUCUCGUCUUCGGAAGGUCUCCGAGCCUAAGACAAGAGAGAGAGGUGGAUCCCAAGAACUAGAGGCGGAUCAUUCUUCCUCGAUGUACUCACUUGUUGAGCUCCUCAAGUGAUCACUCGCUGCUGGGCCAACUCUCGUAGCUCUUGCCUCCACCACCACCACCUAAGACAUAUAUAAAAUGGAGACCAGAGGAGAGCGGAUUAUAAA